rnacentral:rRNA from 1 species
GUCGAGCGGACGGAUGGGAGCUUGCUCCCUGAAGUCAGCGGCGGACGGGUGAGUAACACGUGGGCAACCUGCCUGUAAGACUGGGAUAACUUCGGGAAACCGGAGCUAAUACCGGAUAAUGCAUAACCUCUCAUGAGGUUAUGCUGAAAGAUGGUUUCGGCUAUCACUUACAGAUGGGCCCGCGGCGCAUUAGCUAGUUGGUGAGGUAACGGCUCACCAAGGCAACGAUGCGUAGCCGACCUGAGAGGGUGAUCGGCCACACUGGGACUGAGACACGGCCCAGACUCCUACGGGAGGCAGCAGUAGGGAAUCUUCCGCAAUGGACGAAAGUCUGACGGAGCAACGCCGCGUGAGUGAUGAAGGUUUUCGGAUCGUAAAACUCUGUUGUUAGGGAAGAACAAGUGCCGGAGUAACUGCCGGCACCUUGACGGUACCUAACCAGAAAGCCACGGCUAACUACGUGCCAGCAGCCGCGGUAAUACGUAGGUGGCAAGCGUUGUCCGGAAUUAUUGGGCGUAAAGCGCGCGCACGCGGUCUCUUAAGUCUGAUGUGAAAGCCCACGGCUCAACCGUGGAGGGUCAUUGGAAACUGGGGGACUUGAGUGCAGAAGAGGAAAGUGCAAUUCCACGUGUAGCGGUGAAAUGCGUAGAGAUGUGGAGGAACACCAGUGGCGACGGCGACUUUCUGGUCUGUAACUGACGCUGAGGCGCGAAAGCGUGGGGAGCAAACAGGAUUAGAUACCCUGCUAGUCCACGCCGUAAACGAUGAGUGCUAAGUGUUAGAUGGGUUUCCGCCCUUUAGUGCUGCAGCAAUCGCAUUCAGCACUCGGCUGGGGGGAGUACCGGCGCAAGGCUGAAACUCAA